AUCUUGGGUGGAAUUCAUGAAGGAAUUCCUGGAAGAAUCUCCGAAGAAAUUACUGCAGGAAUCUUUGAGGGAAUUGGCGGAGGAAUCUCCGGGGGAAUUUGUGGAGGAAUACCCAGAGGAAUUUCUGGAGGAAUUUCCAGAAGAAUUCCCGGAGGAAUCUCUAGAGGAAUUCCCGGAGAAAUCUCCGAAAGAAUUCCCGAAAGAAUCUCCGGGAAUUUCCGGAGGGAUUCCUGAAGGAUUCUCCGGAAGCAUUCCUGAAGGAAUCUCCAGAAGAAUUCCUGAAGGAAUCUGCGGAGGAAUUUUUGGAGGAAUCUCCGGAGGAAUUAUUGGAGAAAUCUCAGAAGGAAUUCCUGGAGAUUUGCUCCAGAAGAUCUUCUGGUGAUUGCUCCAGGAAUCCCUCCGGGGAAGUCCUGCAGGAAUUCUGGAAGAAUUGCACGGGAGUUUCAGAGGAACUCCUGGAAAAUUUCCCGGAAAAUUUCUGGUGGAAUUAUUUGUGAACUUCUAGUGGAAUGCUCGAGGUAAUUUUUUAUGAGUUCCUGGGGAAUUCCUGGAGGAAUUUCUUGGAAACUCUUUAUUGUCCCCACAAAUACCUGAAGGAAUUAACGAAGAACUUUUAGAGGCAUUCCCAGGGAACUCCCGGAAGUUUUAUCAGGAAUUUCCUGGAGGAAAAACCUGAUAAUUUUUGGAUGAUUUCCUGGGGCAUCCCUGGAGGAAUUUCCGGAACACUCCUUGAGGAAUUCCCGGGGGACUCCCUCGGGAAUAACCGGGGAACUCCGGAGGAAUUCCUGACUUCUGGAUGAAUUCCCGUGAACUCCUGGGGGACAUUCUAGAGGAAAUAUUGGGAAACUCCUGAACGUUUUCAGGAAACAAACAUAGGUAUUCACCGAACUGAAGUUGUUUUGAAAUUAACUGCAGGAAUUCCGCGCUCAUUGUGUUUUGCCGCAGCGGCAUACUUGCGGAUUGGUCCAUACCGCAGUGCUUCCGCAUUCCGUUGCCGGUCCCAUUGCGUUUUCCGCUUCAAACUGAUGUUGUUUCUUGAGUUUUUUCCUUGUCAAAUAUUGGACCCUGUGUACUACAAGCCUAAGGGCCAUGUGUACUAACAGCUUAAUGCACAUUGAUGUCUUUGGUGCGAAAGAUGAAACAAAAAAGAAAGAGAAAUGUCACUUUUACUCACGGAAUAAUACAUCGACAUAUUAUUCCGUACGGAAAAUUAACAACAUGACUGACAGCAUCGCAUGACACUGCCAUCUGUUGGCAAAUCUUUCUGGCUGCAAAUUACCUAUCAACUGCGAACGCUUAAGUAAUUUUCAUUGCUAAAGUUUUACGUGACCAUUACUUGUCCUAUCUUUUUACACAAUACUUACCAGGUGGAAACUAGCCAUAAAGAUAAAAAAGCCUGGAACUUAAAACGCGUUUUCCUCAGUUUGCUGUUUUGGAACAUGGGGCAGCUAUGCUGCACACGGCAACAAUAGCUUGUCCCAAAACAAAAAAUCGAUGUUUGAAAAGUCAAGGUGCUUAGUUCUGAAAUGAAAGUUAUGCAUAUUCGAAGCAUUUUUAUAGAGCAUUUCGAUUUUCUUAAAAAAAAUCAUUAAGAGGUUCCGCCAGGGCGAUUUUUGAGAAUGGCCAUUUUCUAUGCAAAUUCUCGAAAAAAAACCUUAUUUCGUAAUAUUUAUUCAACUUCUAUAUAUUCGAGAUUUUUUUUAAUAUAUUUUGAUAUUUUUUUUUUCAUUCUUGAAAGAAUUUCUAGUUAACAAAAAAGGGCUGCAGCUGUCGGGGAUUCCUCGAAGUUAUGUCGAACCUAAUGCGUUGCUAUCAGUAUGCACGACACUCGUAAUUGUUGUACAUAGUUAUUCACAUAAAAGCUCUUCAUGAAUCAACUGCGAACCGUCCCAGAAUAAAUAGAAAACAAUCCAUAUUUGGACUAGUUUGCGCAUACAAUAAGUAAAGCUUUUGUUUUGAGACUUACCUGUCUAAAUAUAUGUACAUACAUUAGAGUGUCACAAAAACAGUAAUAUACAAAGUUUUGCAAAUAUUUGAAAUAUUGUCCAUUCAUUAAAAGUGCAAUAUCUCGGCUUCUAGACAAGAUACUUUAAAUCUUUCAUUGAAGAAAUAACGCUUAUGAAUAGAACUAUCAGAUUUCGUGGUUGAUAAAAAUGUAUUUUUAGCAAAUGUUGAUUUUUUGUUCAAGGUUCUGCCGUCAACAUAAACACAAUAUUUCAAAAAGUAAAAUACUGCAAGAAUGUCCAUAAAAAUCCAUAAAAAAUACCAAAAUUUAGAAAAAAAUUCAGAAAUUGUAAAAAAUAUUACGAAAAUAUGAUUUUUUGUUUUUGAGAAGUUUCAUUAAAAAAAUGAUCAUUUUUCAAAAAUUACCUGACGGAACCUCUAAAUGUUUUUUUUUUCAAGAUCGAAAUGUUCUACAAAUAUGCUUCAAAUAUUCAUAUCUUUCAUUUUAGGGUUGAGAACAGCACCUUGACCUUUCGAACAUCGAUUUUUUUUGGGACACAAUGGCCCAUGGCCAUGUAUCACAACAAAAACUGAUCAUAUUAACUUGAGAGAAUCUGCCGUGAACCAAACUGAGAGAAAUCAAAGGCUCUGUAUGAAUUCUCCAAAAAGUGGCAGUUAAUCGUCCAAGCGUUUCGUAAGCCUUCGAGUGUGGGUUCGGUUCUCAGUCAAGUCGGAGAAAACUUUUCGUCAAACGGAGAAUUCUCCACUGGGCAGUGGUCCAGUGGGGUGUUAUGGUAUAUUGAAGCAGAUCCUUAAGGUUUUUGUGUUCAUAGUCCACUGCUCUGAAUUUCAAAAAGCUUGUAGGAAUAUGUUGUUUCUAUUUUCCAGGUGUUCAUUGUAGUUCGAAGUCCACCUUUCAAUCACCUUACGUCCGCUAGUUGAGUCCCAUGUUGAUUUUUCCUGCAUAUCUGAUUUACUGAAUUCUAAAAAGCAUGUUUGAUUAUAUGACGUCUAUAUUUUUUCAGAUGUUCAUCGUAGUAGUAUUACCACCUUUCAACCAUUUUAUGUCCAUUCAUAAAGUGCAUGCACCGCAUGUUUCGAAUUCCGGUUGAAAGCCUUAGUGAAAAUCAUGUUUGUUUUUCUUAUACUGGCCGUGUUUUCAACGCCUAGCAAUCAUCCUUGAAAGUAAGUACUCAUGGUCACCUUUCAAGUUCGUUCAUGAGGAAGAAACCAGAGUCCAUGCAGUUCUCGGAACCAAUGCCACCGAUCGCCCAACUAAUAACACUGGAUCCUGUGAGGUCUGCUCGAAUACUCAAGAUGACCGUCCCAGUUUCUCGGUGACACCCUCCUCGAUCUUGCCUGUUAUCGUGCACAUAAUCCUCUGUUGCGGAAGAGACAAUGGCAAACGUAAAAUAUAGGCAUAUUCGUAUGAUAAUGAUAAUGUUUAUUAUUUGUUUAUGUAAAUGCAGUUUCGUGUCGAUCGACCGUCAGCCGGUGGAUCCCGCAGUAGGCGAAUUCAAGACUUCAGUUUUUUUUUGCACCGUGAAAUUUGAGUCGCGGUAGGCUGUGCAGAAGCACUGCGGCACUCUUUGGUUCCAUGAGUGAAGUGUGCUCGCUCACUCAGUGUACUUCUCGCAUUGAAGAAGUGCCACUUGAGAACGCUGGUUGCUUUGACCGGGUGCCGCCGCUACUCGCUCGAUAAGUUCUUGCGAAGUUAACGAAACCAUUGAACUUCAUCGUUUCCUUCAGGAGAGAGCGCGCGCGUCAGGUGGUAAUCAUCAUUACUCGAUCCAUCAAAAUAUCUUCACCGGGGUGCUCCCGUCCGCGUCCAUUGCCAUCGUUGUUGAUUGCCGAAAUUCCUGCUGAACCCCUCCGAAGAAGUCGGGAGAAUGCAGGUCUUGUUUCUUUUCGCGCGGGCGCCAUUUAUCGCUGAAUUGAUUACAAUCAGUGUUCCAGCCAGCGGUUCGGUCGGUCGGUCAACAAUCUUGAUGGGGAAGAUAAUGAUGGUUAAAUUAUUAUCAUGACUGGUCGUGGUAGGUGGCGGUAGGUCUCCCUGUGCGAUAGGGUUCAGAAUGGGGUCACCUAACGGGUGGUAUGGCGGGGACCUUCAUUACCGAUAACGACGACAGCGACGACUGUGUUGAUCACGGGGUCCAAAUAUUUAAGAACGACGAUUGAGCAUUAACGAUUGGUUGUAGGUGGUAGCCGCCCACUCAAUUCCGUUGGUUCUUCGUUCUAUGAAGAAAGCACAGACGAACAUCGUCGUAGAUGAUUUAUCAUGAGAAAUGAUUUCUUCAGAUUGAAUGGAAUUUCAUAUAAUUACGUUAUUACGAUGGAGCGGGUAGCGAGAGUGCUAGAAUGAAAAACACCAGAACUUUCACAAGAAAUUUUUCAACCAAUACUGUUAGUAGCUUGAACAAGAGUGAAAUUUCUUUCCUAAGUCCCAUCAAGUAACUCACCUAGAGUUCCUCUGGGGAAUCUCUAGAAUUUCUUUGCAGAUUUCCUUUUGAACUUCCACCAGAAAGUCAUUUAUGAGUUUCUUCUGACAUCCCUCAGAACUUAUGGUAUUUUUUUAUUCAUUCAAGGUUUUAGUCUAGAGAUCUUUUUGAAAUUAACGGAGAUGCUCCUUUUGAAGUUCAUUUGGGAAGAAAUUCCGGGAAAGGAUUACCAACUUCAAUGAACGCUUUAUCCAAGAUUUGUUUUUAAUUCCUUCAGAAAUUUCUUCGUAGAUUUCUCCAGGUAUUGCUUUUGGGGUUCCCCUUGAAGUGAUUUUCAAAGACUUUAUACAGACAUUCUUCCAAGAAGUUCUUUUGAAAUUCGUUCAGGAAUUUCGUCAAGAGUUGGGAUUCCUUCGGGAGUUGUUUCAGGAAAUCUUGGAAAAUCUGGGAAUCCUCCUGGGAGUUCCUUCUUGUAAUCGUCUAGUACUUUCUUCUGGAGAUCCUUUAAGGGUUCCGACUAAAGGUUUAUCAAUAGUUCUAUCUGGAAAUUCUCCUGGAAGUACUUAAAAAACCUUCAGAAGUUAUUUCAGGAAGCCCUCCUGGAGUUCCUUCUGGAAACCUUACAGGAGUGCUAUGUUACCAGUAGCAUGUCCAGGUUAUCUCCAGCCUACUUAGUUGCGAUGAAAUGACACAUUUUUUUGGAAGCAACUUACCAAAGGAACAAUGUUUUGACCGCUGAUUAAAGUGCGUUGUUAAAGACCUCCCUCCCUUGAAAGCAGUUGUCUGUGCUGUUUCCAAGAACGACACUAAAGCACCUUUCAAUCAGCCUCAAGCAAUGGUACUGUGGCAGUAGGUACACAGCAUCGACCGACGACUGACUACGGACGAUGAAAACUCGCGCUGGAGAGAUGGCCUAAUCGCAUUAACGCUCACUUCUCAUCGUGGUCUUUCGCCCGGUCGCGUCGCUUCGGUUGCUCAGUGGUUACCUACCUACCGUACCGUCCUGGUACUGCACUUCGGGGGCUCCCUCCAUUCACAGCGUGCCCUCAUUUCACAUUCAACUGCGGGUACCAUUAUCAUCCGACCAUUUAAGAUAAUCUAUUGCCACCGCAGGCUAUUUUCGCAAGUUCGGAAAAGAAGCGACGGAGAGAAUUCAAAAGCUCGGCGCUGACUGAACAUAAAUCGCUCGACAAGGAAGCACCGCCGCACUAACUGUCACCUUGGUGUGACCCCCCGACCGCGUCCGUCCCUUUCCGAGAGUUUCCGUGGCCGGGUGUCGCGGGAUAGCACUUCCAAGGAACCCCCCUCGGUGCUGGAGGCCAUCGCGCGAAUCACACCAGAAAGAGCGCAACGCGGUUCAGAGAGGAGUCAGUCAGGAGGCCUUUGGGUACUAAAUACGGCGACAUUUCAAAUUAAACUGUAAUCUCUUUCUCGGCACUGGUGCUGCUUCUGCUGCUGAUCGUGUGGCAGCGAUAAGCGCGAAGGCAUUGGCAUCGGCUUUGGAGGGACACUCACUUUCAUUAAUUUUCGCCCCGCGCGUUUUUGUCGUUGUUGUGGUCUUCGUUGCCAGCGACUUAUCUAGUAGGCCAGCUGUCCCACUGUACCGGUGUUUUCCGAUAGCUAGCUGUCCCGAAGUAGGCGACGCCCACUGGAUCUGAGAAAUGCUUGCUUUUUAGAGGGAAGCUGUUGUUUCUUUCGAUUUGGUCGCAUAGGAAUUUAAUUAAAUCAUCAUUCUCGUUAAAAAUGAUUAAUUGAAGACGGAUCUCGUUGGGUCGCUGGCCGGAGAUUGGAAACAACGGUUUUCCUUCUUCUGACGAUUAUUUUUACUCCUUUCUUCGGUGCCCAGAGGGGUGUCUUUUGUUUAGAUAUAAUAUGUGAGUGUGACUGCGACGAACCUAGGUACCACACACGCUAAUGGCAAAAUUAUGGAAAUGAGCGCGAACAAUGGCCGCAAGACGUCAUUAAUUUUUAAUUUCCUUUCUAAACGCGAACGGUGAACGGUUGGUGGCUCCUGGUGAGAACGUUGGAAUUCUGCACAUGCUGGAACGCUUAGACUUUAACCCUCCUUUUGCAUAAGGGUCAUUUUUGCCCAACUUUUUUUAUUUGGCGAAAGGUAACUUCCAGCUUUAAAAUUAAUUGAGUAUCCUGGGAAAGUGAAAUGCUACUUGCUAUUUUUUCUUGAAUUUUCAUUUUUUAACGAUUUUCAAAACAAGCAACAGGAAAAAAAUGAUAUUUUUACACAAAAGAAGGAUCUAAUUGUAGAUUCUACGAAUGUUUUGUAUCAAAAAUUGUUUCCUUCUAAUUGUUUUUUAAAAUUGAUUGUAUUCAAAAAAAAAAACCUAAUUAAUGCACCUAGCGGUGAUGGAGCCUUUCUCGUGCUUUCGAAACCCCAUUUCUACAAAACUCAAGUGACAUGUUGAUGAUUAUCACACUUUCAUACGUUUAACAGAAAUCCAUUCCAUGACACCAGAUGUCAUAUCGUUUAUUUGGAUUUUGAUGAUAAUGCCCUUUCUUAAAAAAGCUGCAUUCUUGAAUUUUAAGCCGCCAUUUUGCAUGUCCGGUCUGGUCAUCAUUUUUGGAAAUUCUGGUCGCCAUUUUUUGACUCCACACUUCUUCCCCGUACCAGAUAUACCCAUAUUGAAUGGUUUUUAGUCUGCUAUCUUGGAUAUUCUAGUCACCAUAUUUGGACUCCAAACAUUAUCAUACCAAAUAUACCCAUAUUGUGUGGUUUUAGGACCUAAAACACCAUUAAAUAGCCGCCAUUUUUAAUUUUGAGCCGCCAUCUUGGAUAUUCUGGUCGCUAUUUUUGAAUUCCGGACAUCUUCCCCAUACCAGAUAUGGCCAUAUUGCAUGAUUUUGGAGACGAAAACUCCAUUAAACAGCCGCCAUCUUGAAUUUGGAGCCGCCAUCUUGGAUUUUAGACCGCCAUCUUGGAUAUUCUGGUCGCCAUUUUUAGACUCUGGACAUCUGCCUCACACCAAAUAUACCCCAUUCUGCAUGGUUUUAGAGAGCCUUACCCGACUAGAAAAUUAUAUCAAGUUUAUAACACAUUGUGUUAUGAUGAUAUGAAAUUUUUCUAUAACUUAUUUUGUUAUAAACCAGAUGCAGGAUGAUGUUAAAAUAACUAAAACUGAAACAAAAAGUUCACCGGUCUAAUCAAAAUAAUAACUUAUUUUGAUAUGAACAGAACAAUAUUAUAACGCAAUAUGAUAUAAAUUUUAGCUUCAAGAAAACUAGUUUCUAUCAUAUUUUGAUACAAUUGUGUAAAAUGAUGUUCUGAAUGUCAAAGAACCAAAACUUAAUUAUUUCACAAUGAGUUAUUGAAGUUGUUCAUAUAACAUAAUAUGAUACAAUUGAGUUCUAAUAUUUUUAAACACCAAUGAUGUUAACAUGGUUAUAUAACAAUGAGUUAUACAUCUAUAUAUAUAUAUAUAAAAAUGCAGUGGCAUACUUGGGACCGCGCAUAACUUGCGAACGGAUGGUCCGAUUUGGGUCAUCUAAGUUUUGUUAUGUUAGUUUUCACCGAAGGAAGGUUUAUGAGGCCUAAAACAAGGGAAAAUUGAGAGUUUUUGAAAAUCGGGUUUUCAUACAUUUUGAACGGGGACUUGGGCGCUUGGCUAGGGACUUGAAACGUCAAAAAACGCAGUAGGCAAGACAAAGUUUGCCGGGGACAGCUAGUAUGUUAUAAAUAUGUUAUAUUUUUGUUUGAAUCUUCUAGUCGGGCAAGCGCUAGUAACAGUCGCCAUCUUGAAUAUCAGGCUGCUAUCUUGAUUUUUGGGCCGAUAUCGUGGAAUUUCUGGUCUCCAGCUUUGAUUUGCGCACAAAAUUCGCAAACCAUGCUAGAGUUUACAAAAAUUGCCGCAAUUUGAUGUGUCGCAUGAUGUGGCUUGGUUUAGUUUUAUUUACGGCCAGUUCUACCGGUGCUGGUCCAAAUCACUGAAAUGACCAUAACUCCGGAACGCCUUAAGGUGAAGAUAUAACGGAGCCACACCUCGAAUUUUCAAGACCACAAAUCUGAGGAACCGAAAAUUGGAUUGCGCUGAAAAGUUGAUCGAUUCCCGACUAGAAGAUUCGAACAAAAAUAUAACAUAAUUGUAACAAAUCAUGAUAUGUAUAAUUCAUUGUGAUAUAAUCAUGUUUAACAUCAUUGGUGUUUAAAAAUAUUAUAACUCAAUUGUGUUAUAUUAUGUUAUAAAUGUUGUUCAAUAACUCAUUGUGAAACAAUUUAGUUCUGAUUCUUUGACAUUCAGAACAUAAUUUUUUGCAAUUUCUCAUCGUAAUAGGCUGUUUUGUCUGACGCAAAUCUGACAGGAAAAGGCCUACUUUCCCACACCAAAUAAACAGUGCUGUAAUGGUUCAUUACAGCACUGAUUUGCGUGGCGUAAUGAGCCAUUACAGCAUUGUUUUCAGUUUUGAUCAACUUCUUGAUGCUUUCUGGACGCAGUUUUGAAAAAUUAUGACAACUGCAUAGUAUAACCUGCUAUGCUCGGCAAGCCUCGUUGGAUAAAUGUACGACUCGUGCUGUAAAAAUCUUCAUUCUGCACCUUGUUUCCACAUUAUGUAACACAUUCAAACCUUACAGCAUGUACCAAAAACAGCGUGAUCCGACAGUUAUAGUUAGACGAAACAUAGGACAAAUAACGACACAAAGAUUUACCCCCUGAGGAAGACACAAACCCCGUGUCGAAACGUUGGGCAAAUAAAUAACGUCGUUUGUUCAUUUUAUGACUGCGUAGCCAAAAAUAGUUAAUUGUACCAUACAGUCGAUUCAAUCCCAGUUCAA